AUUGAACGCUGGCGGCAGGCCUAACACAUGCAAGUCGAACGAGUGGCGGACGGGUGAGUAAUGUCUGGGAAACUGCCUGAUGGAGGGGGAUAACUACUGGAAACGGUAGCUAAUACCGCAUACCAUCGGAUGUGCCCAGAUGGGAUUAGCUAGUAGGUGGGGUAAAGGCUCACCUAGGCGACGAUCCCUAGCUGGUCUGAGAGGAUGACCGGCACCACUGGAACUGGUGGACGGUCCAGACUCCUACGGUAGGCAGCAGUGGGGAAUAUUGCACUAUGGGCGCAAGCCUGAUGCAGCCAUGCCGCGUGUAUGAAGAAGGCCUUCGGGUUGUAAAGUACUUGCAGCGGGGAGGCGUUACCCGCAGAAGGAGCACCGGCUAACUCCGUGCCAGCCGCCGCGGUAAUAC
rnacentral:rRNA from 1 species